UACGGAGGGUGCGAGCGUUGUCCGGAAUCAUUGGGCGUAAAGGGCGCGUAGGUGGCCCGGUCAGUUCGUGGUGAAAGCGCGGGGCUCAACCCUGCGUCGGCCAUGAAUACUGCCGCGGCUGGAGCACUGUAGAGGCAGGCGGAAUUCCGGGUGUAGCGGUGGAAUGCGUAGAGAUCCGGAAGAACACCGGUGGCGAAGGCGGCCCGCUGGGCAACUGCUGACACUGAGGCGCGACAGCGUGGGGAGCAAACAGG
rnacentral:rRNA from 1 species